rnacentral:tRNA from 1 species
GGGUCAGUAAGCAUAGUUGGCGAUUGCAGCAGACUGUAAAUCUGUGACAUUUGAAACACCGUUGGUUCGACUCCAACCUGGCCCACCA